UACGUAGGAUGCAAGCGUUAUCCGGAAUUAUUGGGCGUAAAGCGUCCGCAGGUGGCAAUGUAAGUCUGCUGUCAAAGCGUCUGGCUCAACCAGAUAAAGGCAGUGGAAACUACAUAGCUAGAGUAAGGUAGGGGUAGAGGGAAUUCCUGGUGUAGCGGUGAAAUGCGCAGAUAUCAGGAGGAACACCAGCGGCGAAGGCGGCACUCUGGGCUGGAACUGACGCUGAGGAGCGAAAGCGUGGGUAGCAAACAGG
rnacentral:rRNA from 1 species